rnacentral:rRNA from 1 species
CCGUUCAAUACUGCGGAGCUCGAGGGCAGAAGAGGGGGGUGGAAUUGCUGGUGUAGUGGUGAAAUGCGUAGAUAUCAGCAGGAACACCUGUGGCGAAAGCGGCCCCCUGGUCUGCUCCUGACACUCAGACGCGAAAGCUAGGGGAGUGAACGGGAUUAGAAACCCCGGUAAUCCUAGCCGUAAACGAUGGAUGCUAGGUGUGGGUGGUAUUGACCCCAUCCGUGCCGAAACCAACGCGUUAAGCAUCCCGCCUGGGGACUACGGCCGCAAGGUUAAAACUCAAAGGAAUUGACGGGGACCCGCACAAGCAGCGGAGCGUGUGGUUUAAUUCGAUGCUACACGAAGAACCUUACCCAGGUUUGACAUGCAGGCAGUAGUGAAGCGAAAGCGGAACGAUCCUUCGGGAAGCCUGCACAGGUGCUGCAUGGCUGUCGUCAGCUCGUGCCGUGAGGUGUUUGGUUAAGUCCACUAACGAGCGCAACCCCUGUCGUCAGUUACAUGUGUCUGGCGAGACUGCCGGUCUUAAACCGGAGGAAGGUGGGGAUGACGUCAAGUCAGCAUGGCCUUUAUAUCUGGG